CAUGCACGCACACGCAUGUAGAGAGGACGUCUACUUGAAGUAGUAUGGGAGGUCGAGCACGUAGAGGAGGAAGUAGGCCCAGACCACGCCGGAGAUGCCGCCGAAGAAGAAGCCUCCGGUGAACUUGGCCCAGCCGUCGGCGGUCUGCAGCUUGUCGGCCUCCUUCUUGCGGCCGGUGAGCGUGAGCGUGGGCGCCGUGGACGGGUCGCCCUCGUUGAAGGAGGCGACGCCGUACAUGGUGAGGCAGACGCUGAGGAUGGUGACGAGCCCGGCGGCGCCCAGGGCGCCCGCCUGGCCGUGCACGGGCGUGUUGCGGAGCGGGCCGGUGAGGGCGAAGGGGCCCACGAGGAGGUAGCCGUGCGCAAGCCCGACCUCGAUGCCGCGGAGCAGCGGGCUCACGGCGGUGCGGUAGGCCGGGAGGUUGGAGAGGUACCAGGCGAUGAGCGGGCUGGAGGUGAUGGGCGUCUCCAGGCUGCCGAUGAAGGGGUCGCCGUUGAUGGGCUGCACCACCUGGUACGUU
rnacentral:lncRNA from 1 species